rnacentral:rRNA from 1 species
GCAGGCUUCACGCUUGAAUACAUUAGCAUGGAAUAAUGAAAUAGGACUUUGGUUCUAUUUUGUUGGUUUCUAGGACUAAAGUAAUGGUUAAUAGGGAUAGUUGGGGGCAUUAGUAUUUAAUUGUCAGAGGUGAAAUUCUUGGAUUUAUGAAAGACUAACUUCUGCGAAAGCAUUUGCCAAGGAUGUUUUCAUUAAUCAAGAACGAAAGUUAGGGGAUCGAAGACGAUCAGAUACCGUCGUAGUCUUAACCAUAAACUAUGCCGACUAGGGAUCGGAUGAUGUUAAUUUUUUAAUGACUCAUUCGGCGCCUUACGGGAAACCAAAGUGUUUGGGUUCCGGGGGGAGUAUGGUCGCAAGGCUGAAACUUAAAGGAAUUGACGGAAGGGCACCACCAGGGGUGGAGCCUGCG